GGCCCCGUAGUUCAGUUGGUUAGAACGCCUGCCUGUCACGCAGGAGGUCGACGGUUCGAGUCCGUUCGGGGUCGCCA
rnacentral:tRNA from 1 species